rnacentral:tmRNA from 1 species
GGGGAUGUAAAGGUUUCGACGGGGGUUGGAAGCCCUGGUAAGCGAGUAGCGGUGCGGGCCCGCUAUAAAACCUGCAAACUUAAAAUUAAACGACAACAAUACUGUUGCUGUUGCUGCUUAAUUAAGCAGCCGUUCUUACCCGCAGUACCGCGGGCGGGAUAAGAGCGUCGAUUAGCGGUGAACGUGUACAGGGCUACGCCUUUACCCCUGUCACGGAUUAAAGGCUACCAAAGUGCAGAGCCUGCCGAUCGGCGCUGCACGGCGGGAAUUCCAAACGACCGGCUACACUCGUAGAAAGCCCCGGUAACUGACUUUCGGACGCGGGUUCGACUCCCGCCAUCUCCACCA